rnacentral:rRNA from 1 species
AGAAUCAACGCUGGCGGCGUGCCUAACACAUGCAAGUCGCACGAGAAAGGGGAGCAAUCCCUGAGUACAGUGGCGCACGGGUGAGUAACACGUGAAUAAUCUACCUCCGAGUGGGGAAUAACUGAGAGAAAUCUUAGCUAAUACCGCAUAACACUUACGAGUCAAAGCAGCAAUGCGCUUGGAGAGGAGUUCGCGGCCGAUUAGUUAGUUGGCGGGGUAAUGGCCCACCAAGACGAUGAUCGGUAUCCGGCCUGAGAGGGCGCACGGACACACUGGAACUGAAACACGGUCCAGACUCCUACGGAGGCAGCAGUGGGGAAUUUUGCGCAAUGGGGGAAACCCUGACGCAGCAACGCCGCGUGGAGGAUGAAGCCCCUUGGGGUGUAAACUCCUUUCGAUCGGGAAGAUAAUGACGGUACCGAUAUAAGAAGCCCCGGCUAACUUCGUGCCAGCAGCCGC